rnacentral:rRNA from 1 species
ACGGCCCACCAAGGCGACGAUCGGUAGCCGGACUGAGAGGUCGAACGGCCACAUUGGGACUGAGACACGGCCCAGACUCCUACGGGAGGCAGCAGUGGGGGAUAUUGCACAAUGGGGGAAACCCUGAUGCAGCAACGCCGCGUGAGGGAAGACGGUUUUCGGAUUGUAAACCUCUGUCAUCGGUGACGAUAAUGACGGUAGCCGAUGAGGAAGCUCCGGCUAACUAC